CCAGAGGGCCGGGCGGCCGCUGCCCGUUCGCGGGGAGAGGAAAGUCCGGGCUCCACGGAACCACGGCGCCGGGUAACCCCCGGCGGGGGCGACCCCAGGGAAAGUGCCACAGAAAGCAGAUCUCCACGGCUUCGGCCGGGUGAAAUUGAAAGGGUGCGGCAAGAGCGCACCGCGCUUCCGGCAACGGCGGCGGCACGGCAAACCCCGCCGGGAGCAAGACCGAAUAGGGGCGGCACAUGGGCCUGGUCCGGCUCGUCGCCCGGGUUGGUUGCUUGAGGCCGCGAGCGAUCGCGGCCCUAGAGGAAUGGCCGCCCAUCCGCGCGCGAGCGUGGUGGACAGAACCCGGCUUACAGGCCCUCUGGCGCU
rnacentral:RNase_P_RNA from 1 species